CCGUAAUUUAACAUCUUAGAGUUUAAAGGUUGCCUAUAUACAAUGUUGUAUGUAUUAUUUUGCAUGUCGUUGUUACUAACCUUCAUAAUCAGUGUUCGGGCAUGCCCUCUAGAAUAUGAAAGCACAGAUGGAACAGAACUGAACAAUACGCUACUUCUGUUGAAUGACACUGAUAUCGAAGAUAGAACUGUUAUAACUAACAGGCGAAUCCUCUGGCCAUCGUCAUCAUCUGGACUUGUUUUUUAUUCCAUACGUAAAUGCCAACCUUGAACCUAGAGUGGUAAAUCUUCUAAGACAUUAUAUUGAACAGUUCAGUCUCCAUUCGUGUAUACGCUGGGUUCCAAGAACACAUGAAAGGGAUUAUGUUGUGUUCACAAGAGGCAACUGGGGG